UACGGAGGGGGCUAGCGUUGUUCGGAAUCACUGGGCGUAAAGCGCGCGCAGGUGGCUUGGAAAGUCAGAGGUGAAAUCCCGGAGCUUAACUUCGGAAUUGCCUUUGAAACUCUCAGGCUAGAGUAUGGUAGAGGAUGGCGGAAUUCCUAGUGUAGAGGUGAAAUUCGUAGAUAUUAGGAGGAACACCAGUGGCGAAGGCGGCCAUCUGGGCCAUUACUGACACUGAGGCGCGAAAGCGUGGGGAGCAAACAGG
rnacentral:rRNA from 1 species